GACGAACGCUGGCGGCGUGCUAACACCUGCAAGUCCAACGGGAAGGGCCCUGUUUUUGGGGGUUCCCGGGUGGGGAAACGGUGAGUUAACAGGUAGGAAACUGGCCUUGACCUUUGGGUUACCUCAGGAAACCUGGGGCAAUUACCGAUAGGAGCUCCCGCCGCAUGGGGGGGGGUGGGAAGUUUCGGCGGGUGGGGAUGGACUCGCGGCUUAUCAGCUUGUUGGUGGGGUAGUGGCUUACCAAGGCUUUGACGGGUAGCCGGCCUGAGAGGGUGACCGGCCACAUUGGGACUGAGAUACGGCCCAGACUCCUACGGGAGGCAGCAGUGGGGAAUAUUGCACAAUGGGCGGAAGCCUGAUGCAGCAACGCCGCGUGCGGGAUGACGGCCUUCGGGUUGUAAACCGCUUUCGCCUGUGACGAAGCGUGAGUGACGGUAAUGGGUAAAGAAGCACCGGCUAACUACGUG
rnacentral:rRNA from 1 species